rnacentral:lncRNA from 10 species
UAGGCUGGCAUAGCUGUUAGGAAGGAAAUCCCCUAUAACAUGAAUCCUGACUAGGAAACUGACACUCAGUAUCCCCAUGUUUUGGAGUGGUUUCACAAUCUGCUGCUUGAAUUGCUUUCCCCACCUUAACAGUGGAGGGUCAAGCUGGGCCCAAUACUUCUGAUUUUGCUCUCAUUAACUCAAUUCCUAAAUACUGGUUUCUUGUUUACUGCUCAGAAAGACCAGUCAUGUUUGCAAUGUAAGGCCUUAGCGCUUACUAUUUCUUCUGCCUAGAAAACUCUUCCCCACCUGAGAUACCUGUAAGGCUUGCUCCCUCACAUCCAUCUGAACUUUAUCCAAAUAUCAGCAUCUUGGUGAAAACUACCCAAGCCAUAGUCUAGAGGAUUACUGUGGUGGGCUCUCAGGGGCCUGACUUUUAGAGAAGUGUACCUCCACCCACUGACACCUGGCUGGAAACGAGGUUGGCAGUUUUUGUUAUUAUGUCUAAGUCUAAGUCUGUAAGGAUGUUCCAAGGGCAACAGUCUCUAGAUGUUCUCCUGCCUCAGCCUCCCAAGUAGAUGGGAUUACAGGCAUGCACCAUCACACCUGGAUUUUUUUUUUUUUUUGUCUUUUUAGUAAAGACAGGGUUUCACCAUGUUGGUCAAGCUGCUCUUGAACUCCUGACCUCAAAUGAUCUGCCUGCCUUGGCCUCCCAAAGUGCUGGGAUUACAGGCAUGACCCACUAGGCCCGGCCUAAUUGACUAAUUUUUAUAAAUAAAUUUUUAAAAUU